CCCCAGACUCCUACGGGAGGCAGCAGUGAGGAAUAUUGGUCAAUGGCCGAGAGGCUGAACCAGCCAAGUCGCGUGAGGGAAGACGGCCCUACGGGUUGUAAACCUCUUUUGUCGGGGAGCAAAGCGAACCACGUGUGGUUCAUUGAGAGUACCCGAAGAAAAAGCAUCGGCUAACUCCGUGCCAGUAGCCGCGGUAAUACGGAGGAUGCGAGCGUUAUCCGGAUUUAUUGGGUUUAAAGGGUGCGCAGGCGGAGGUGCAAGUCAGCGGUCAAAUUGCGGGGCUCAACCCCGUACUGCCGUUGAAACUGCAUCCCUUGAGUGCGCGAGAAGUAUGCGGAAUGCGUGGUGUAGCGGUGAAAUGCAUAGAUAUCACGAAGAACCCCGAUUGCGAAGGCAGCUUACUAAACUGUGACUGACAUUGAGGCUCGAAAGUGUGGGUAUCAAACAGGAUUAGAUACCCGUGUAG
rnacentral:rRNA from 1 species